CAGUUGGUGCCAACUAGGCUUCUUGGCGCAGCUAACCUUGAUCUUUCAGAUAUGGCAAAAAAUUGCUUGUGCAGCUAAACAUAAACACUACGCCUUUGUAACCAACUUUACGUUUGGUUUUGUGUGAAGCUCAGAGAAUCUGUGUAACAAUUUGACUGAAACCUUUGCGUACCUUGGUUAUAUGAGUUUCUCCCAUUCCCUCCACAUUUGCUGAGAUAUCUUUCAUCCCAU